AGUGUCUGGUGGGUAGUUUGACUGGGGCGGUCUCCUCCUAAAGAGUAACGGAGGAGCACGAAGGUUGGCUAAUCCUGGUCGGACAUCAGGAGGUUAGUGCAAUGGCAUAAGCCAGCUUGACUGCGAGCGUGACGGCGCGAGCAGGUGCGAAAGCAGGUCAUAGUGAUCCGGUGGUUCUGAAUGGAAGGGCCAUCGCUCAACGGAUAAAAGGUACUCCGGGGAUAACAGGCUGAUACCGCCCAAGAGUUCAUAUCGACGGCGGUGUUUGGCACCUCGAUGUCGGCUCAUCACAUCCUGGGGCUGAAGUAGGUCCCAAGGGUAUGGCUGUUCGCCAUUUAAAGUGGUACGCGAGCUGGGUUUAGAACGUCGUGAGACAGUUCGGUCCCUAUCUGCCGUGGGCGCUGGAGAACUGAGGGGGGCUGCUCCUAGUACGAGAGGACCGGAGUGGACGCAUCACUGGUGUUCGGGUUGUCAUGCCAAUGGCACUGCCCGGUAGCUAAAUGCGGAAGAGAUAAGUGCUGAAAGCAUCUAAGCACGAAACUUGCCCCGAGAUGAGUUCUCCCUGACCCUUUAAGGGUCCUGAAGGAACGUUGAAGACGACGACGUUGAUAGGCCGGGUGUGUAAGCGCAGCGAUGCGUUGAGCUAACCGGUACUAAUGAACCGUGAGGCUUAACCUUACAACACCGAAG
rnacentral:rRNA from 1 species